rnacentral:snRNA from 1 species
AGCUUUGCGCAGUGGCAGUAUCAUAGUCAAUGAAGUUUAUCCAAGGCAUGAUUAUUGCUAAUUAAUAAAAAAAGGAAAUUACAGUGGAGCUUUUGGUAAUAGAAGUAACAGAUUUCUGAGUAUGGCAAAAGUUUUAAAAAUCCGACUACGGA